AUCACUUCUUGGCCUUUUGGCUAAGAUCAAAUAUAGUAUCUGUUCUUAUCAGUAAUAUCUGAUACGUCCUCUAUCCAAGGACAAUAUAUUAAAUGGAUUUUUGGAGCAUGGAGAUGGACUAGGAGCUUAAUCCGUCCACUCCACGCAUCUACCUGGUAUUGCAGUAUCUCCAGGAACAGUGCAUCUCCU
rnacentral:snRNA from 1 species